rnacentral:lncRNA from 1 species
GAGCGAGCCAGAAGGGAGCAUGGUCCCCGCGCCGCGGCCGCGCCAGCCCCCGCGCCGCCGCUGCCGUCCCCGCCGCCGCGGAUCUAGCUGCAGCUCCAGCCCCGGCCCCUGCUCCGCAGUGCCCGCCCGCAGCCCCGGCGGCCGCCGCGCCUGAGCGCAGCCCCCGCCCGGAGCCCGAGCCCGGAGCCCGGAGCCAGCCUAGCCCCGCGGCCGCCGCGGCUGCGGGGAGAGGGCGGGGGCGAUGCUGCCGGAGCCGCAGCCGCCGCCGCCGCCUCGGUGAGAGCCGCGCCGCGCCGCGCAUAGCCGCACAGGCUGACAGGCAGAAGGACUGACUUCCCUCUCCCGGGCAUCCUCCCUGGGCUGCCGGGAGGCGGCGGCGGAGGAGGAGGAGGAGAAGGAAAAGGAGGAGACGGCGGAGAGCAGAAACGUGAGGAGGUGGACCUGGAUCCGUUUCUCCCGGCCAGGACCCGAGCGGCCCCAGCUACCACUACCCGCCGGCGCCGUCCCCUAUCCAUCAGCCCUCCUGCGCCCACCCGCGACCCCCGGCUCUCUGCGCGUUGGGCCAGGUCCAGAGCGGCGCGGCCGGAGCAUUAGGCGAGACCUCGGCGCUGGAGGGAUCGGACCGUGGAGGACGCCGAGCUGCUGCUGCCCGCGAAACUUGCACUUCGUCAGCCCAGGGACAGUCAUGCUCCGCUGCUGCAGGCUCCUGCCCCUCAUCAGCCGAGCUGCGCUGGGAUUCGGACUCCUCUUGCAGCGACAGAUCUGUCCUGGUUACAGCUGUAUUUACCCUAAUUUCAGUCUCUUUAAAGUCAUCUGUUAGUCACGACAGAGUUCCUUCCCUUGCCGUGUGGUCUUAUCUCUAACUCAGCCCUGGGAGGGCAGAUUUAAGGAAUUAUUUCGAUUUAGGAUGAAUGGCAGCAGAUUUAAUUAGCCCACCUCAUGCCUGAUGUUUUUAAAAAUUGUAUUGGGUUGGUGUGGAGAGCUAACUUUUUCACUCCUUUUGGGGGGGUGGGGUGAUGAACAAUUUUAUAGAUUGUUCAUCCUAACACUUGGCAAAAACGUUGUCAGAUACCGCACAGGUGAAUACUUUAAAGGCUGGUCCAUAUGCAUGGAUUUGAGUAGUCACAUAUUCUAGGUGUUUGUACAGGUAAGCAGCUGUAUGCCACUGACCAGUGUAGUCUCUGUCCCAUACAUUGUUCUGAGUGCACUUGAUUUUUCAGCCUGCUAUAAAUCAGGGAAUUACUAGCACAUGUGCCCUUAAACUCUGUAUGAAAUGAAUGACAUUUAAAUUGGUUUAUAGGCAUUUAACCAAUUUUAAUAACUUGUCUGCACAAGCAUCUUAUAAACCAUAUUUGUCUAUGAUUAAGGAAAACAUUUUCUUCUGUUCAGUCUCUCCAUUAUUAGCACAGUUAACGGAAAUUUAUAGGUCCCCAACUUUCAUUUGCAAGCAACAAUCCAAAUGAAGUACCUAGAGUUGUACUGAAAUAAAAUAUCCUAUGGUAG